AUUGAACGCUGGCGGCAGGCCUAACACAUGCAAGUCGAGCGGAUGAAGGGAGCUUGCUCCUGGAUUCAGCGGCGGACGGGUGAGUAAUGCCUAGGAAUGUGCCUGGUAGUGGGGGAUAACGUCCGGAAACGGGCGCUAAUACCGCAUACGUCCUGAGGGAGAAAGUGGGGGAUCUUCGGACCUCACGCUAUCAGAUGAGCCUAGGUCGGAUUAGCUAGUUGGUGGGGUAAAGGCCUACCAAGGCGACGAUCCGUAACUGGUCUGAGAGGAUGAUCAGUCACACUGGAACUGAGACACGGUCCAGACUCCUACGGGAGGCAGCAGUGGGGAAUAUUGGACAAUGGGCGAAAGCCUGAUCCAGCCAUGCCGCGUGUGUGAAGAAGGUCUUCGGAUUGUAAAGCACUUUAAGUUGGGAGGAAGGGCAGUAAGUUAAUACCUUGCUGUUUUGACGUUACCAACAGAAUAAGCACCGGCUAACUUCGUG
rnacentral:rRNA from 1 species